CUCCACUAUACAAGCGUUUGCAGCUAGACUAUCUUGGCCCCGGAAAGGACAUAGAGCGGGAAAAAAAAUCGGCGGUCGAAAAAAAAUAAAUAAUGACUGCGCUGUGUCCGUACAAGUACAAAAGAUUUAUUCUUUUUCUUGGCAAUCCUGUGACCCCAUAGCUGUCCUUUGGCCAAGGUACCCAAGCAAAGCUUUUGAUGGCUGAACAGCACAAAAUGGUGCCAACACCCUCCUGUGUGCUUUACACAUGAAAGAUCAUCAUGUCGUCGCCGGAUAAAGCCCCUUGCGGACAGGGCGCCUCAACGCCCUCCAGCGCACAGCUCUGCCAGGCUGCUGUUGCUGUCAGCAGCUAAUCAUGCUAGUUUUUCCUUGUUAGAGCUCCAGGGAGUGUGGAGCUUAUCGCAUGCAGCAUGGGACACUAAGCAGUGCUGUGCACUGGACAGAACACCAGCGAAGAGCAGAGGCAGGGCUGAAACCUCAAACCCAAGAGGCGUGAGGCGUUAGGGCUAGUCAGUGAGCCACUCUCAUGGUUGCAUUUGAUUUUGUUAUUCUGAAUUUUUGUUUUAUGACUUAUAUCUUGUUUUACAUAUACGAUUUAUUAAUUGAUUUUUAAAUAAUUAUUUUUAAUGCAGUAAGUCAUUAAAACGUGCUGUUCCUUACAAUGCAUUCAGAAGGUGUUGGAGUUUGACGGCUGCCUACGGGGGCAGGGUGGGCGCAGCCCAUCUUACAAACGUGGAGCACUUGCAUAUGCAUGCACUGCUCUUAGGCCAGGCGCUCGAUGUGAUGUCUGGAGAUGAAAUCAUACUGUGCUUUUGAGGGCCAGCUAGGGGCAGCUAUGUAUAAUCUGAUUUAGACUAAAGCUACCCCUUUUAUUUUUAAUUGUCCCACUGUAGCAUUUAAGAGCUAUUGAUCCCCCGGAAAAGCAUUAAGAAAAGGAAUGACUAUUACUGUUAAUAUUCCCUGCUUGGUAAAGACACAUCAAAGGACAUUUGAAUGUCACAGACUUUCUGAGGGAAUUUGUAGCUUAGGGUUUAACAGGCUAGCCUAUGAGCGAAAAGGACACGCGAUAGACAAAUGCAGAAACAAAUGUGAGGGCAAUUUGGAGCUAAUCAAAUUUUAUCUAAGCAUUGAUUUUGGGCAAAAGUUUGCCAUGUAUGGAUUUCAAAAGAUGACGGUAUUUAAAAGUCAAACGCUCAGCGUCAACUGGCGGUGCUGUGGUAGAAGGGCGGCUGCCUAUGGAUUUAUUAUGAUUAUCCGAUGUCCAGGAAGGCCAAGAAAUGAAAUUCUAAUCCUGCACAAAAGGUUCCCUUGCUGGAAUUAGAAUCAGUAUAAUGUGUUGGUGUCAUAGGGGAGGUGCGGGAGGCAUAAAUUCACGUGCAUGGUAAAUAUGCACAUUAUAUGUAUGACAUGCUAUAUGUAUAUGAUUAUAUAAUUUACUCACAGAAAUACAUAUAAAUACAACCCCAUUUCCAAAAAAGUUGUGACGCUAUGUAAAAUGUAAAUAAAAACCAAAUGUCAUGCUUUGAAAAUCAUAUAAAUCCAUAUAUAAUUGAAAAUAAAGACAUAUCAAAUGUUGAAACAGAAAUUUUAUUGUAUUAUGACAAAUAUAUGCUCAAUUUGAAUUUGAUGCCAGCCACAUGUUUCAAAAAAGUUGACGGGAAAAGUUGUGUAAUGCUAAAACAAAACACCCGGUUCAAUAUCUGACAACUAAUUAGGCUAAUUGGCAACAGGCCCGUAAGAUGAUUGGGUAUAAAAAGAGCCUCCCAGAGAGGCAGAGUCUCUGUGCAGUGAAGUUGGGGAGAGAUUCACUAUUCUGUAGUCUGUGUGGGCAAAUAGUGCAAGAAUUUAAUUGUUCCUCAAUGUGAUAUUGCAAAGUAAUAAGAAUUUGAGAAUUUCAUCAUCUGUGGUACAUAAUGUCAUUCAUUUAAAAGAUCCAGCGAAUCCAGAGAAAUCUCUGUACGCAAGGCAAAAGACCGAAAACCAAUACUGGAUAGCAGUGAUCUUUGAGUCCUCAAGCAACCCUGCAUUAAAAAUAGAUACAAUUCUAUAGUGGAAAUCCCUGCCUGGGCUCAGGAACACUUCCAAAAACCGCUGUCUGUGAACACAGUUCAUCACUGCAUCCACAAGUGCAGGAUGAAAAUCUACCAUGCAAAGAAGAAACCUAAACGAGAUCCAGGAACGGCGCCGACUUCUCUGGGCCAGAGCUCAUUUAAGAUGGACUGAGGCAAAAUGGAAAACUGUCCUGUGGUCUAACGAAUCAAAACUUCAAUUUCUGUUUGGAAAUCAUGGACAUCACAUCCUCCAGGCUAAAGAGAAGAGUGACCAUCCAGCUCAUUAUCAGUGGACAGUUCAAAAGCCAGCAUCUGUGAUGCUAUGGGGCUGUAUUAGUGUCCAUGGCUUGGGUAGCUUGCACAUCUGGGAAGGCACCAUUAAUGCUGAGGGAUAUAUACAGGCUUUGGAGUAAACACAUGCUACCAUCCAGAUGUCUUUUUCAGAGAAGGCCUUGCAUAUUUCAGCAAGACAAUGCCAAUCCACAUUCUGUGUGUAUUACAACAGCGUGGCUUCAUUGUAGAAUGGUCCAGGUGCUAGACUGGCCUGCCUGCAGUCUAGACCCGUCACCCUUUGAAAAUACUGAAACUUAUAUAAGGCAAGAAUGGCAGAACAUUUCACUUUCAAAACUCCAGCAACUGGUCUCCUCCGUUCCCAAACGUGUACAGAGUGUAAUUAAAAGAAGAGGUGAUGCGAGAAAGUAAACAUGCCCCCGUCCCACUUAAUCUAACCUUUAUGUAACGUGUUGCUGGCUUCAAAUUCAGCAUAUAUUUGUCAUAAAACAAUAACAUUUCUCUUUUAGUAUUUCAUGUGUUGUCUUUGUUCUAUUUUCAAUUAAAUAUGGGGUUAUGUGAUUUGUAAA